AGUUUAUGAGAUGGCUUUGAAGACAAGGGCUGAUUGGCUCAAGGUGCACAUUAUCUCUUCGUCAGCAAUUUGCAUGUCACCAACUCACCAAAAGUAUGUGAUCCAUUGCUUCUUUAUUCUCUGCUCAACUCCAAAUGUAACUUCUUUAUCCUUGCAGGGCUUCAGAGUGAGGUGGAGCAGAAGAUCAAAAUUGCUAUGGUGAAACAGAGCAAGUGUUCAAAGA
rnacentral:misc_RNA from 1 species